CCACAGCAGGAGAUAACUGUAGUGUUCCUCUUCCAAUUUUUCGUGGAGUGGGCCCUUGAACAUCAGCUCAGUGUGUUGUUGGAAUCUCCUCCAUGCGUCAGGCAAAUCCAGGGAAUCCCAGUCCAUGCUGGGCAUCAGCACGCCAGCGGAGUCCAUCUUCUCUUCCUCUGAAACCCUCCAACACUGUUCUCCGGCCGGAAGUGAUGAUCUGACUAGUUAUCACGAAAACAGAGAAGCAGAAUUUCUUUUAGAAUCAGCAAAUGCAGUGUAAGCAGCUUACAGCGUCAUCAUUUGCUUGGCUUGUUAUUUAGUGACAGUUCGGCUCAUAUCAGCACAGGCUGCAGUCGUCGGAGGUGAAGCUCGCGGUGUUUUGCUGUGCUUCACAAUGAGCUUUGUUUCUGUGCGCCGCUGAUACGGCCGAGUCGGAAGCACACGCUCGGCCCAGACUACACAGCGCUAUCACAUCCAGCUCUUAUCGCAGCUAAUUCCUUUAAGGUUCCAUAACAGCAAUUAGCAUUUUCUUCCUCUUCUGUGAAAUUCACAAAGAAAUGACGCUGUAUCAUCUCAAUCAAAGCCUGUUGUGUCUCAUCUGAGAGCACCACAUGAUGCUAAUGGGUUAAUUCUGUAAACUGCUUUUCCUCGCAGUGUGUUUAAGGAGAGAAAGCCGAGCGUCCGGGCCAAAGAAAAUAACACAAGCAGCUGCGCUGGUUCUUAACAGACUCUUAUAAUCAGUGAGAAAUGCUCCUCAGACUGUGUAGAGUCCAUCACACUGAAC
ensembl:lncRNA